rnacentral:rRNA from 1 species
UACGGGGGGGGCAAGCGUUGUUCGGAAUUACUGGGCGUAAAGGGCUCGUAGGCGGCCAACUAAGUCAGACGUGAAAUCCCCAGGCUCAACCUGGGAACUGCGUCUGAUACUGGAUGGCUUGAAUUCGGGAGAGGGAUGCAGAAUUCCAGGUGUAGCGGUGAAAUGCGUAGAUAUCUGGAGGAAUACCGGUGGCGAAGGCGGCAUCCUGGACCGGUAUUGACGCUGAGGCGCGAAAGCCAGGGGAGCAAACAGG